rnacentral:lncRNA from 1 species
CACUACAAAAACUCAUAAUCGAGUUAAUAUUUAUGUGCAGUCAAAAUACAGCAGCCUUACUAUGAGUAACUAUGAAACCUUAGGUCAAAGAACCAGUCACAUAGCUACAGCAUCGAGAUAAUCACUGACGAUCGAAUAGAAAUUUAUGUGAUCUCUCGUUUGGUCAUGCUCAGUACUAAUUGUUCUCUAACAACUAUCCAUACUUUUUGCUCAGUGCCUCCACACCA